AACUGUUAAUGAUGAUCUUGUUUUAAAAACAAUGGGAAUCUCUCUGAAUUAGAGUGAAAGAUGACUUUUAACUGACACAGUA
rnacentral:snoRNA from 13 species